rnacentral:lncRNA from 1 species
UAGUAUUAAUUUAUCUUUUUUGUAGAUUCUGAUAAACAGUACGAAAGAUGUUUUGCUUUUGAUAGGGUUUGCCUCCUUUGUAACUCUUUUUUUCUGGAAAUUCUAUCUCUACUAAAAAUACAAAAAUUAGCUGGGUGUGGUGGCACGCGCCUGUAGUCCCAGCUACUUAGUAGGCUGAGGCAGGAGAAUUGCUUAAACCUGGGAGGCAGAGGUUGCAGUGAGCCAAGAUCAUGACACUGCACUCUAGCCUGGGGGACAGAGCGAUACUCCAUCUCGAAAAAAAAAGAAACAUAUUGUAUUCUCUAUUAGAAAGUGUAGACGGAUGGGAAAGUAUUAAUAAUGAAAAUAACCAGAAAUUGGACUUAAAAACUCUGGAAUUAUAACUAUUAAUAUUUGAAAAUAUAUGCAGAUCUACAAUUCUUCAUGUGGAAGUACAAAGUUCAACAGUUAUGAAUACCUAAAACU